UGCAUAAAUUAUACGAAUAAUAUCUCUCGCUCUCGUUGAUCUCUCUCCCUGUCUUACAUGUCUCUCUCACACUCUUUCUCGAUCUCUCUCUAUAAGUACAACCACUACGAGAAGGCAUCAUCUUCAAAUUAAGCUUCGUGUUCCUCGAAAUCAAGCUCCGUGUUCCUCAAAUCAAGCCCGACUUUUCACAAGGCUCCAGCAUUGAAAGGACGAAAGCUUUUGGUUCUAAUGACAAAGAGAUGUCGCUAAAGUGGAAAAGAAAACAGGUUCUGGAUGAAACUUGGAACUUAUUGGUUUAGUAAGACACUGGAACCAAUUUUGGAAAUGUUGAAGCGAGCUCUACCAGCAGCUACUGAGGAUGAAGCAGCUCAGGCAAAUGACAUAUCAACAAUUAAGUUUAGGGGUGUCAAUGUUGUAACUAAUUUUGAGAUGAACUAAUACGAUGUGGAAGCUAUUGGUAAAAGUUCUCUUCCUGAUGGUGGUGGCACAUCAAAGUGAUUAAAGCUCUCGCUGGAUGAGAAACAAAAAUCUAUUAAGCAGUAGCCAGCAACAAUUGUGAGAACAUCAUCACUUUUGCUGUUAUUCAGCCCGCAUCUGCUAUACCAUCUGGGCUAUCAUUUGAUCGGUUUCUUUUUAUAUUUUUGUGAUAAAAUCAAACAGGUUAAACUAAAAAGAGCAUCACUUUCUUUCUGUUAUAGAACCAGGUUUAUCUUGGCGGUUCUACCAUGGAACCAAAUUGAUACUAUUUGAUGUUUAAAUUAUAAUGCUAAUAUAUCUAA